rnacentral:rRNA from 1 species
AGAGUUUGAUUCUGGCUCAGAACGAACGCUGGCAGCGUGGAUUAGGCAUGCAAGUCGAACGUGAAGCCGUUGAACAAUCUUUCGGGAGAGUGAUUCGGUGGAAAGUGGCGGAAGGGUGAGUAACGCGUGGGUGAGCUGUCUCGAAGUUGGGGACAACCAGAUGAAAAUCUGGCUAAUACCGAAUGUGGUCUUCUGGCGCAUGUCAGGAUGACUAAAGGUGGGGAUUCUUCGGAACCUGCCGCUUUGAGAGGUGCCCGCGUGCCAUCAGCUUGUUGGUAGGGUAAUGGCCUACCAAGGCUUACGGCUAGCCGGCCUGAGAGGGUGAUCGGCCACACUGGGACUGAGACACUGCCCAGACUCCUACGGGAGGCUGCAGUCGAGGAUCAUUCGCAAUGCGCGAAAGCGUGACGAUGCGACGCUGCGUGGGGGAUGAAGGCCUUCGGGUCGUAAACUCCUGUCAUGAGGGAACAGUAUCCCUGUAAUUAAUAGUUGCGGGGCUCGAUGGUACCUUAAGAGGAAGCCACGGCUAACUCUGUGCCAGCAGCCGCGGUAAUACAGAGGUGGCGAGCGUUGUUCGGAUUUACUGGGCGUAAAGGGUGCGUAGGUGGUUUUGUGUGUCGGAUGUGAAAUCCCAUGGCUCAACUGUGGAAUUGCAUUCGAAACUGCGGAACUAGAGUGCAGGAUGGGAGAGCGGAAUUCUUGGUGUAGCGGUGAAAUGCGUUGAUAUCAAGAAGAACACCGGUGGCGAAGGCGGCUCUCUGGUAUGCUACUGACACUGAGGCACGAAAGCUGGGGGAGCGAACAGGAUUAGAUACCCUGGUAGUCCCAGCCGUAAACGGUGCACACUUGGUGUGGGGAGAUUUAACCCUCUCCGUGCCGGAGUUAACGCGUUAAGUGUGCCGCCUGGGGAGUACGGCCGCAAGGCUAAAACUCAAAGAAAUUGACGGGGGCCCGCACAAGCGGAGGAGCAUGUGGCUUAAUUCGAUGCAACGCGAAGAACCUUACCAGGGCUUGACAUGGGGACCCUUCGGGGGUGGUAGCGAAAGUUACCUUUACCAUCACAGGUGCUGCAUGGCUGUCGUCAGUUCGUGCCGUGAGGUGUUGGGUUAAGUCCCGUAACGAACGCAACCCUUGUGGCUAGUUGCCACCGGUGGUGAUGAGCCGCCGAGCACUCUAGCCAGACUGCCCGUACAAGCGGGAGGAAGGUGGGGAUGACGUCAAGUCAGUAUGGCCCUUACGUCCUGGGCUGCACACGUGCUACAAUGGUCGGUACAGUGGGAUGCAAUACCGCGAGGUGGAGCAAAUCCCCAAAGCCGCCCUCAGUUCGGAUUGAAGUCUGCAACUCGACUUCAUGAAGUUGGAUUCGCUAGUAACGGCGCAUCAGCUACGGCGCCGUGAAUACGUUCCCGGGCCUUGUACACACCGCCCGUCACAUCAUGAAAGCCGUCUGCACCCGAAGUCGCUGAGCCAACCAUUUAUGGAGGCAGGUGCCGAAGGUGUGGGUGGUGAUUGGGAUGAAGUCGGAACAAGGUA